UUACAAGAGAGUUUGAUCCUGGCUCAGGACGAACGCUGGCGGCGUGCCUAACACAUGCAAGUCGAGCGGAGGUAGUGGAGCUUGCUCUAUUACCUUAGCGGCGGACGGGUG
rfam:Caldanaerobius fijiensis DSM 17918 genome assembly, contig: EJ21DRAFT_scaffold00020.20